rnacentral:rRNA from 1 species
UCGCUGACGAGUGGCGGACGGGUGAGUAAUGUCUGGGAAACUGCCUGAUGGAGGGGGAUAACUACUGGAAACGGUGGCUAAUACCGCAUAACGUCGCAAGACCAAAGAGGGGGACCUUCGGGCCUCUUGCCAUCAGAUGUGCCCAGAUGGGAUUAGCUUGUUGGUGAGGUAACGGCUCACCAAGGCGACGAUCCCUAGCUGGUCUGAGAGGAUGACCAGCCACACUGGAACUGAGACACGGUCCAGACUCCUACGGGAGGCAGCAGUGGGGAAUAUUGCACAAUGGGCGCAAGCCUGAUGCAGCCAUGCCGCGUGUAUGAAGAAGGCCUUCGGGUUGUAAAGUACUUUCAGCGGGGAGGAAGGUGUUGUGGUUAAUAACCGCAGCAAUUGACGUUACCCGCAGAAGAAGCACCGGCUAACUCCGUGCCAGCAGCCGCGGUAAUACGGAGGGUGCAAGCGUUAAUCGGAAUUACUGGGCGUAAAGCGCACGCAGGCGGUCUGUCAAGUCGGAUGUGAAAUCCCCGGGCUCAACCUGGGAACUGCAUUCGAAACUGGCAGGCUUGAGUCUUGUAGAGGGGGGUAGAAUUCCAGGUGUAGCGGUGAAAUGCGUAGAGAUCUGGAGGAAUACCGGUGGCGAAGGCGGCCCCCUGGACAAAGACUGACGCUCAGGUGCGAAAGCGUGGGGAGCAAACAGGAUUAGAUACCCUGGUAGUCCACGCCGUAAACGAUGUCUACUUGGAGGUUGUGCCCUUGAGGCGUGGCUUCCGGAGCUAACGCGUUAAGUAGACCGCCUGGGGAGUACGGCCGCAAGGUUAAAACUCAAAUGAAUUGACGGGGGCCCGCACAAGCGGUGGAGCAUGUGGUUUAAUUCGAUGCAACGCGAAGAACCUUACCUGGUCUUGACAUCCACAGAAGAAUCCAGAGAUGGAUUUGUGCCUUCGGGAACUGUGAGACAGGUGCUGCAUGGCUGUCGUCAGCUCGUGUUGUGAAAUGUUGGGUUAAGUCCCGCAACGAGCGCAACCCUUAUCCUUUGUUGCCAGCGGUUAGGCCGGGAACUCAAAGGAGACUGCCAGUGAUAAACUGGAGGAAGGUGGGGAUGACGUCAAGUCAUCAUGGCCCUUACGACCAGGGCUACACACGUGCUACAAUGGCGCAUACAAAGAGAAGCGACCUCGCGAGAGCAAGCGGACCUCAUAAAGUGCGUCGUAGUCCGGAUUGGAGUCUGCAACUCGACUCCAUGAAGUCGGAAUCGCUAGUAAUCGUGGAUCAGAAUGCCACGGUGAAUACGUUCCCGGGCCUUGUACACACCGCCCGUCACACCAUGGGAGUGGGUUGCAAAAGAAGUAGGUAGCUUAACCUUCGGGAGGGCGCUUACCACUUUGUGAUUCAUGACUGGGGUGAAGUCGUAACAAGGUAACCGUAGGGGAACCUGCGGUUGGAUCACCUCCUUACCUUAAAGAA